rnacentral:rRNA from 1 species
AUUGAACGCUGGCGGCAUGCUUUGCACACGCAAGUCGAACGGUAACAGGCCGCAAGGUGCUGACGAGUGGCGAACGGGUGAGUAAUGCAUCGGAACGUGCCCAGUCGUGGGGGAUAACGCAGCGAAAGCUGCGCUAAUACCGCAUACGAUCUAUGGAUGAAAGCGGGGGACCGUAAGGCCUCGCGCGAUUGGCGCGGCCGAUGUCAGAUUAGGUAGUUGGUGGGGUAAAGGCUCACCAAGCCAACGAUCUGUAGCUGGUCUGAGAGGACGACCAGCCACACUGGGACUGAGACACGGCCCAGACUCCUACGGGAGGCAGCAGUGGGGAAUUUUGGACAAUGGGCGCAAGCCUGAUCCAGCAAUGCCGCGUGCAGGAAGAAGGCCUUCGGGUUGUAAACUGCUUUUGUACGGAACGAAACGGUCCUGGUUAAUACCUGGGGCUAAUGACGGUACCGUGAGAAUAAGCACCGGCUAACUACGUGCCAGCCGCCGCGGUAAAAC